AUAGGCAACAGAGCUGCUGUGGCACUAUGGAUCAAACGCAUCCGGAUUUACUUUCAUGCCCCUGAGUUAAGGUGAAGAGAGGAUCAAGAUUGGAUCUUUCAAAGAUGAAGCUGCAAAAAAAAAUGAAUGGAGCAAUGUAAUCUACUCAGAGCGAAAGCACUGAACAUUUGAGAUAUGAUGAAGCUGCUGAGGCAUGUCGUUGUCAGUAGAUUGUGGUAACACUGCUCCAAUAAUGGCAAGUCCCACCUGACUGCAAUUGCUCAACUACUUUAAAAGAUUUAUGCUGAUUUAUCCAACCUACCUGUCAACUUACCCAGCUGUGCAGGAAUUAUAAUUGCACAUUUGAAAGCUCUAUCUUCAAAGCUUAUCAAUAUUUUUAGAAGAACAUCCCAUUCAAGAUAAUUAUCAUCAUCAUUCUCCGGAACAUGUGUCUUCCUUCAAAGGAACAGAGGACUGGAAGGGAUCUUUGGGGUCAUCCUGUUCAGUCUCCCGCUAUUGCAAGCAGUCCCUUUGUAGACAAUCUCUUCCCUUCUUGCACAUAUGCAACAAACAGAGAAUGUGUAUGCUGCUAGAGCUUGGUAGAGACUUUGGGGUGGAGGAAGGAAGAGUAUGAAAGGAGGAAGCAAGGGUUUCUUCUGUGUGGGAACCGCUUCACUGUGCAAAGCGUGAUUAACUCCACUUGAAGAACGCUUAGAAAUACAAGGGGUAACCAGAAUGCAAUUAUGCCACAUUGAAAAUCGGUGGGACAUGGACAUAAAUGUAAUAUUGUUUGAAUUGUACUGCUUGCCGUGUAAGAGUUUCUGCUGAACUGUAAUCAGUGUAGGAAUGAGGCAGGGUUAAAUCGCAGGCAUAAAUUAGAAAAACUGCUUGAUUCUAUGCUGUUUUACAACAGACCCCCGGGGCCACUUCAGAUAACCAAGGAUCAGCUGGAUGCAGAGACAUCCCAGGCCUGCCCCUGCAGCUGGGGUGGGGUGCUAUAGGAGCCACAACAGCAGCUCUAUCUUGACCAGGUGUUCCCCCAUAAUGGAGAAAUCCUCCACCAGUUUGAUCUGUCAGGUACAAGCCUGUGUUGUAUUGGCCCAGGAGAUUUUAACUCAAAAUAUCCAUUUUUUUGAAGGUGUAUAAAUUAAAAAUAUUUGAAAUGCAGUAAAUUCCCAAAAUAUUCACUUUGUAGCUGAGGAUAGUUGUAUGCCAAAUUUCAGUUCUGAGUGAAUCUCAACAGUGGAGUUGUGAAUUCUCCAGUGAUGUACUAAGUGGUUAUAUUCACCCUCUUUUUAUAAAUUAAAGAGACCAGCUGCAGAGACUGAAAUCAGACUCUGGGCUUUGCAUUUGCUUUGUUUUAUUAAAUAAAAAGAUGUCUAAGGUUCCAUCGCACAGAGACACAGACUACCAUUUAGGAUGAGUGAUUAAUAAAAGCUUUACAUAAAUCCAUAAAGGGAAAUUGGAGUCAAAUCCAAAUCCAAACACAAGCCCUGUUUUUGCAAAUUAGAACCCAAAUCCUAAUCCUUCUGAGAUUUGCCCAUCCCUCUGAAACUACAUUGUUGUUAUUUCCCAAACAGAUUCUUUAUGAGGGCUUUGAAAGUAUUUAGAGUUGGUUUGUCUCUCAGAUGGACUAAUUUUGAAUAAAGCCCCAACAAAAAACAAACUUACUAUAAAGCCAGCACCAAUGCUAAUACUAUAAUCUUUACCUGUCCCAUAAUUAAAUGUAAAUGUACACAUGUGAUAUAUAUCCUUAUCAUUACUGAACUGAAAAUUAUGCUUAUUCUCUAUACUCCACUGGAGAGCGUAUGUUCAUACAAUAAUACAAAAUGGAAAAAGUU